CCGAUUUACUGGCCUGCCACCAUAGGGCCAGUUGCGCCGCGUGUAUGAUUGUGGUGUAGUUGAACAGCGCCCUCUAAUGUAUGUUUUGUUUUAGCACAGAACGCGUUGUCGAUGUUUUAGGCAAGCUCAUUUGUGUCAAAAUUUCUUGCUCAAUCAUCACAAUUUUGGCGCUGAGGACGAAAAGGAACUAACACAAAAACAUCCAGUGCUCCAUUGCAUCGCUGUGGAAAACGACUGACGGACAAAGUUUUUCCACUUUGAUGUCAAGAGCACAAGCAGUUGAUGCUUUCGAUGAGGCUGAUCUGGGGUGUGAAGGGCAUCACCUCAAACUCCCUUGACAACAAGAUGAGACCAUUCAAGGAACAUCGUUACGCUCUUGGCAGGAUUCUAUGUCAUCAAGAAGAGAUUGAAUGAAGAUCUUGAGAGAAUGUUGGCUGACAGACGAUAAGAAGUCAAGAAGAUGACAGUCUACACACCAAGUCAACUCAUCACCUUUAUUCCAUGGAGCCUUGCAUCAUUCACCUACCACCAUGCCAGUCCAGUCGCCAUGGCAACUAAACAGCCUCAAGCCCUGCCUCCAACAGCUAUUGGAUAAGAUCGGCAGAAGUGAGCGUAGUCAAGGGCAACACAAGACACCUGUCAGCUUUGUUGUUGUACCUGUCAGUGAUCUGGGUUACCCUGUUGGUUCACUAGGGAGUAGCAUCUGGGCUUAUACACCAGACACCUGUCAGCCGGUUUGGUGAGCAACAUGAGCCAAUGUCUGGCAUGCAUCAUAACAUGGCCAUGGGAGAUGGGGGAGGGGUGACAACUCACGGAAUGGCAGGAACGGUCUGAAACCCAGUAGCUACCAUGCAACUUCAUGGCACCAACCCAAAGGUGUGGGGAGCAUUAAGGGAACUGGUCAUGUGACAUGAGGACACCUCUCCAUCCAUACCUACAGAGGGCGCUGUUCAUCACAUUCGCAGCAUCCACGAGAGAUAGUUAAGUUAAUACAUUUUUCAUACAUGUAGAUGUCCAGCACCCAUAGAGGGCGCCAUAAUGCUAUCUGGUUUGUUCACAGACAUAUUGACACAUACAUGUAGAUUGCCAGUUGUGUGCUUGAAACUGUGAUUUGAUAAAGUACCGCACAAAUUUAAUGUAUGGGCAAAACGUGACAUUUGUUGACAGCGCGCAAAAAUGCUGUUUGGGUUCAAUGUGCCGACGCGCCUAGAACGCUACAUAAAAUAGCUGUAUUACUCAAAAUUUUCAUAAAAGUGUCGGGUAACGUAUUGGUUUAAGUCUACAUGUGGUAAAUCAUAUACUCAAGGGAAUCAUUUUUACAAUAAAAAAAAUUUACUUCAUUGAA